rnacentral:tRNA from 1 species
GGCGCAGUAGGCAAAAUGGAUACAGCCGCCGGACUUUCACUCCGGUGCAUGCGGGUUCGAAUCCCGUCUGCGCUG